GGGUUCCGCCCGGAGAGCCGCCGCUCUGGGCCGCAGCCCGGGCCCUGACUGCAUUUCCGCCGGCGCCCGAGCGAUGAAGGGCGGGUCCUGCAUCCGAGGCAUCCCCGAUCCAUCCAGCAUCUUCUCGCGCAGUCUUCUUCGACCCGCUGCCACAGUCCCGGCGCCCCAGGCCCUGCGCAGAUGAAGACCCUCCCUCGGACGGCUUUGCGGGCCCUGCCUCAGCCGUCGCCCCCUUCUCUCCUGCAGGACCCGGACCCGCGCUGCAGGGGCUGAGUGCCCCCUGGGUCGGCGUCUGAGUCUUGCCUCCCCGUAGGCUCAGUACCUGGCACGUGUCCAAGGCUCAGCAGCUGUACCACAACCACCCAACAGGAGAGAAGGAAAGGAGAGGUGCACCCCGGGGAUGUGGUGAGGCCAUCCCGUCAUGGGGAAUCAGAAAAGGACUGCGUCUUAGCCAGCCAGCUGGGGGAAGAGGAGGCAGCACCGGGCAGAGGGGCCCUUGAGAGAUGUCACCAUCCUGUUAAGAAAGGGCUGGACCACAGCGCUGCAGAGAUGAGUCCACGGUGUGCAGAGGCCGUCGUGGAAGUUGUCGUGUCAGCAGCGCUGUAGACCGCAGUGUCCUUGAGGGGUGCUGCUUUGGAAGAAGCCUCGGGGGUCAGAACCACUCGCCCUCUCAAGGUGAGGACCUGGGUCCCAGCUCCCCCGGAGGGUCCUCCUCAUGGUAUUUAGGGGCUGACCGCGGACACUGGCGUAGCAGCGUGAAGCAGGAUGUUGUCGCAUGACCAUCGCCAAACCUUUCUCUUCUGUUGCCUCAGCACAGCGUGGAAGGACUCUGCCCUCUGUGUGAACAGGGCAGAGGGGAAGUUCUGGGGCUCCAGGGACUUGGGGUUCAGAGCUGGAGACCUUCUACUGGCUCCCAGCAGGUGCCUCAGAACACUGCUGACCAGGAAGACUGUGUCUUCCCAUCUGGACCAGGUCAUCCCGUGGCUUCUGUGUCUCCCAUUUGCUCCUAGUAUAACUUUUUAGAACCAGGAGUUCCUGUUGGAGUCUUGUGUGCCGUGCAUCUUAUCUUCUCACCCACUUAAAUAAAUCUCGAAACUGCC
rnacentral:lncRNA from 9 species